UUAACUCAAAUUUGUAUGGAGAUAAAACGUUUGGCUACGUUUUCCGCUAGGGGCAUUAUAUCAACUGCAUACAAAUUUGAGUUA
rnacentral:pre_miRNA from 1 species